rnacentral:rRNA from 1 species
AGUGAACGCUGGCGGUAGGCCUAACACAUGCCAGUCGAACGGCAGCACAGUAAGAGCUUGCUCUUACGGGUGGCGAGUGGCGGACGGGUGAGGAAUACAUCGGAAUCUACUUUUUCGUGGGGGAUAACGUAGGGAAACUUACGCUAAUACCGCAUACGACCUACGGGUGAAAGCAGGGGAUCUUCGGACCUUGCGCGAUUGAAUGAGCCGAUGUCGGAUUAGCUAGUUGGCGGGGUAAAGGCCCACCAAGGCGACGAUCCGUAGCUGGUCUGAGAGGAUGAUCAGCCACACUGGAACUGAGACACGGUCCAGACUCCUACGGGAGGCAGCAGUGGGGAAUAUUGGACAAUGGGCGCAAGCCUGAUCCAGCCAUACCGCGUGGGUGAAGAAGGCCUUCGGGUUGUAAAGCCCUUUUGUUGGGAAAGAAAAGCAGCACGUUAAUACCCCGCUGUUCUGACGGUACCCAAAGAAUAAGCACCGGCUAACUUCGUG